GUGGCUGCAUCCUUCUUUCCCCUGGGAGUUCCAUUCCCCAAUAAAUCAACCAGAGGUCCAAUAGCCCCAGACCGUCCUAUUCUGACCUUGUUAUCUUCAAUCACAGAGAGGCUAAAGAGAGUGGCAGCUGAAUUCUCCUUGGCCUCCGGACUUCCUGUUUCUAGGACAUGAAUCAGAGGUUCAAUAGCAUCCGCAUUCGCAAUUGCUGUCUUGUUGUUAUCAUUAAUUGACAAGUUAAGGAGUGCUGUGACAGCAUUUUCCUGAAUGCUUGUGUCAGUUGAUCGAAGCAAGUUAACCAACAAGUUAAUGGCCCCACAACUUGCUAUAACAAUCCUAUUGUCCAUGUUGUGUUUGGCAAGUAGCCUGAUCUCAGAUGUUGCCUCUUUUUGAGUAUCAACUGAAUCACUCUUCAAGUCCUCAACCAGCUUCCAACACAAGAAAGAUCAGCUCUUGUUUAAAUAGCAGGAGAAGAAACUAUCCUUGGAACAAGCCUAUCUGCAGGCCGCCGCCAGAUUGUUUGGCUUCGAGACCGUGUCUCAACCAAACGGGGUGGGAACUCAGGUUCUCUGUGAGGGGUGUUCAAGGUAGUAGAAGCCUGUGGCUCUGCUUUUACCUCCCCUGAAUUAUCACUGCUAUAGGAAGUAAUAUGGUUUGACAUCUCUGAAGAAUCAUUAGCAUCUCCAUGUGCUCCUUGAGAAAAAUUUGCAUUAGCAAUUGCACUGGAGGCUGAGGAAUUUCUACUGUGGCUCUGAGUUAUUGGUUCAUCAGCUCUAGCUGCAUUUGAAACUUCCUUCCUAGAUGGUGAUACAGCAUGGUGGACCACUGAAUCCAUGCUCCUUUCUUCCAAGCUAGCAGACCUUUCCUCAGAACUUGUUAGUGAUAUUCUCAUCACAUCCAAACCCUGUUCAUUUCCUACUAUACCUGAUAAGGAA
rnacentral:misc_RNA from 1 species